CCUCCUUUCUAAGGAAAUAAAUCAUCAUCUUCAGUUUUGAAAGACUAAGUAAAGUUUUUCUUUUGGGUUUAGUUUUCGGUAGACUCGGGCCUAUAGCUCAUUUGGUUAGAGCACACGCCUGAUAAGCGUGAGGUCGGUGGUUCAAGUCCACUUAGGCCCACCAAAAGGCGUUACCAAAAAAAGUUCUUUGAAAAGUAGAUAAACAAGGUUCUCGAUAGAAAAAAUCAAAGGAAUCAAGGGCGUACAGUGGAUGCCUUGGCACUAAGAGCCGAUGAAGGA
rnacentral:sRNA from 1 species